GCCGGGUGCAGUGGCGCGCGCCUGUAAUCCAAGUUGCUGGGAGGCUGAGGCUGGCGGACCGCUUGAGCUCAGGGGUUCUGGGCUGCAGUGGACUAUGCCGAUCGGGUGUCCGCGCUAAGUUCGGUAUCGAUAUGGUGCUCCUGGGGGAGCUCGGGACCACCAGGUCGUCUAAGGAGGGGUGCACCGGCCCAGGUCGGAGACGGAGCAGGUCAAAGCCCCCGUGCCGAUCAGUAGUGGGAUCGCGCCUGUGAAUAGACACUGCAGUGCAGCGUUCAAUAAAUAUGUGCGCCCAUUU
rnacentral:SRP_RNA from 1 species